GUUUUGUUGCUAAGGAUUCCACGACGCGGUUAGCCUUUACGGCUGGGACUGCAAGUUUGUGUCCCUUUUUUGCGUGGAUUCCGCGAGUGCUAGCUGGCUGUACUACAGACACCUGUCAUCGUCGUGGGAAAGACUCAUUGUUAUCUUUUUGAAAAACAACUGGUUGCAGUAAAGAGCCAAUCUGGAUACUAAGGAGAUCCUGAGGGAAAUCGACGAGUACCAGCAGCUUUAUGCUAUGGAGGAACAACAUACUCCAUCAUGGAAAGCCAACCACCUCACAAAAUAACUUUAACCCAACAAAAAAAAGAAAAACAGAUAAAUCUACAGACACGGACGAUUUACUUACCAUUGAGGUAGAGGCUAGUGCUCUGGCUGGAAUCCAUGCAACACUGGAAAAGUUGUGUGAGGAGGUAGCAGGGCUGAGGGGGAGUUUGGAGUUCAGCCAGAGUGAAAUUCUCAUGCUCCAAAGAGAAAACAAGACACUCACAGCCAAGGUAACAAUCCAUGAUUCCAACAUGGAUUGUCUACUCAGGGAAAACAGGGUGAUGAAGGAGUCGCUACUAGACAUACAAAGCCGUAGGUUGCGCGAAAAUAUUUUUUUCUGGGAUUACUGAGGACGCAUCCAAUGAUCCAGAGGGCGUGAUCAGAGAAUUCAUGGAAUCCGCCUUGAAACUUCCUAUAGAGACUGUAAACAAGGUGGCUUUCCACCGAGUACACAGACUUGGAGCUCGGAGCAACAAGACCAAGGGUCCCUGACCGAUCAUCGCAAAAUUUGAACAAUUUGAACACAGUCUCAAUUACCAAUUUCCAAGGGAGAUAAACGAACGUCGUAAAGAGACUGUAUCCGGUACAAAGACAACAAAGGGAGAAUGGAAUCGUCUAGCUUGGAUGGAGGAGGAAACAAAGGGAAGGAGUACAGUAGUUAUCCAGCCUGCUGACUAAGAAAUUUCCUGAAACAUGUCAAUGACCUGAUGCAUGGCCUGUACCGACGUGCUUGGCCACCCACUCAGUUACCAGUGACCUAUUCUGACAUAUCCCAGGGAAUGGAGAGAGCAGAACCACGACUCCUUAAAUCCAUAUUAAUUGACAUAAGGAAGUCAAAGCGGACACCUACGAAGAUGACAUCUCAG